GACGAACGCUGGCGGCGUGCCUAACACAUGCAAGUCGAACGGAACGUUCGGGGCUUGUUGCGCACCUGUCCGUGACGCGUGGGAACCUACCCUUAGGUUCGCCAUACUUUCCCAAAGGGGGAGCUCAGGCCAGAUGAGGUCAUCACACCAAAGAUCUAUCGCCUUUGGGUGGGCCCGCGUUGGAUUAGCUUGUUGGUAUGGGAAACGCCUACCAAGGCGACGAUCCAUAGCUGGUCUGAGAGGAUGGCCAGCCACACCGGGACUGAGACACGGCCCAGAAUCCUACGGGAGGGAGCGGUGGGGUAUAGUGGAAACGGGGCGAAAGUGUGAUAGAGCAACGCCGCGUAAGUGAUGAAGGUCUUAGGGUAGCAAAGCCCUUUUAAACGGGAUGAUAAUGACAGUAACGUGAGAAUAAGCUCCGGCUAACUUCGUG
rnacentral:rRNA from 1 species